rnacentral:rRNA from 2 species
GUGAAUCACUUGGCUCGCAAAUCGAGGAAGAACGUUGCCAUAUGUGAUAAAUUCUGUGAACUGCAGGACACACGGAACAGAUAGU